UACAGAGGUCUCAAGCGUUGUUCGGAUUCAUUGGGCGUAAAGGGCGCGUAGGCGGUGCGGUAAGUCCGCAGUGAAAUCUCUGGGCUCAACUCAGAGUCUGCUGUGGAAACUGCCGUGCUUGAGUGUGGGAGAGGUGAGUGGAAUUCCCGGUGUAGCGGUGAAAUGCGUUGAUAUCAGGAGGAACACCCAUGGCGAAGGCAGCAAACUGGUCAUCAACUGACGCUGAGGGACGAAAGCCAGGGGAGCGAACGGG
rnacentral:rRNA from 1 species